rnacentral:misc_RNA from 1 species
AUAAAUGUGAUUAGCAAAGACCGUAAGGUCUUGCUAAACUUGUAUUUAGAACCUUCAUUCUUGUAAAAACAAUAUAUUUUUAUUAUAAAAAAUAAGAAAGA